rnacentral:tRNA from 2 species
GGAGUAGUACUCAAGUGGCUGAAGAGGCGCCCUUGCUAAGGGUGUAGGUCGGGAAACUGGCGCCAGAGUUCGAAUCUCUGCUACUCCG